GGUACUGCCGUGAUAUUGUUGGGUCUGUACACAGCGCACAAGAGUAGUAACGAUCGGUAGUGUGAAAUUGCUAAAAAGUAAGCGUGCUUCUAGAUUCAACCACAACACAAAUGUGCAUCAUAACUCUCCGCCUGGUGUGGCUAGGCAAUGCAUGAGUGAGGGUGUAAAAUCAACGACGGACAACCCAGCAUGCGCGGUACAUGUUCUCCCACUAGAUUUUAGAAUGGAGAAGGUAGAAGAAUAUAAGCUUGUUGUAGGAACUGUCCGAAAUGCCCUGGUUGACCUUCUCGCAGGGACUCUUGGCGGUAUUGCCACCGUCCUUGUCGGACAGCCUCUCGAUACGGUUAAGGUCAAAAUGCAGACUUUUCCACAAUUAUACAACAAUAGCAUAUUUUGCCUGAAGGAAACGAUACGACAAGACGGUGUAAUGAGAGGGCUGUAUGCGGGAACUGCCCCAGCAAUAGUGGCUAAUGUUGCCGAGAAUGCAGUCCUUUUCGGAGCAUAUGGCCUCUGUCAAAAAAUCGUGAAGACAGCAACCGGAAAAAGGAACCAGCAGGAUCUCUCAUCAAUUGAAAAUGCUAUGGCGGGUGGUAUGGCGUCAAUAUUCUCUUCAUUGACACUCUGCCCUACAGAACUUGUUAAAUGCAAGUUGCAGGCCCUACGAGAAACGAGCGGACACAAACCAACAUUGUCAAUGAUGGCCAUGUGUCGUAUGAUCUAUCGAACGGAUGGUCUAACCGGCUUCUAUCGGGGCAUCGGAGCCACAAUGGUACGAGAGGUGCCAGGCUAUUUUGCAUUUUUUGGAGGAUACGAAGCUGCUCGGCAAGGCUUCGCGAAAUGCUACGGAUGUGCCAAGAAGGACAUUGGUAUCGUGGGUGGUUUUGCACAUCUCGAAGCAGUCAGUCUCUCUCUUCGCAGAUUACCUCGUUUCCGGAAUGGAUUCUAUGCCAGCUCCUGACUCCCAGCCGCGGCUUUCAGAUUUUGUGUCUCGAAUAUUUUAAUUGAUGAAGCAGCUGCAUAGGUGCAGCCAUACUGGUAGCAAACAGAAGAGCAUCAUUGCUUGUUGAACCCUAUGCGAAACCCAUGCAUUGUAAAGCAGAACAAUAUUAUUCGAAUAAUUAGUUUGUAUGGAUGCCUUCUCGUGUUUGUACUAUAUUUGCUGGCGGUCGCUCUAAUAUACACUAAGAAGAAGCUGGUCAAAUAUUUACGGAUUCCAUGGGCAAUUACCACAGCAUACAGCUAUAACUCGAUUCGGACUCAGCGAGGGGAAAAUGGCACAGCGGUAGUUAGAAAAUAAAUUAAUGCACUGUAGAAUUACUCAGUAAGGCAGAUAGGUGAAUGUAGGUUUCUUUACGUUCUGACUGAAUCGGGUUACUGCUCAGGCAAGCAGAAGUAAAGCAGGAUUUUUUGUGGCAAUCCAUACCCUAUCCCGUGCUGUAGAUAUAUACGAAAAACAUCUAUAGAUUAUCGAUCUGGAGUUGCGUUGUAACUUUGUGAGCCCAGCUAUAGACCACCGUGCUGAUCUUAAUGCAUAUAUUAUGCACAUGGAGACUGAUGCAAUACAGUAGUAGGCAAGGCGGUAGUCCGUUGACGAUUCAUAUACUCACUCAUUUUUCUGAACCCAGAUCUCUUCAACGAAUAGGCGUUACUUACUUGAUUAACACAAGUUAAAAACGAAUGUUUAACGGAGACUAAUCAGACAUCUCUAAGGCUUUCUAAGGAUUAAGUGUGAUAACUGACUACAUUAAAAUAAUGCUAAGCGAGUAGAACUUACCUUAACGUACUUGACAAAAUAGGCAAAUACGAAACUUGUAAAUUAUUUUUUUCAAAGAAAUCUCUAAACCUCACUUACUGUCUUCGUCAACUGCUCUCCUAAGGGUCAUCGUGAACUCACUCAAAACAUAGGCAGUCACUGCUUCCAGUUCAUCUUACCACUAAAUGUUCGUGCGAUCACGAGUGAUAGCCCCUGCAGUCUAUCGGAUCGCUCCCGUAUUUUAUAUUGCCCUGGAAACCUUUUCGUCUCGGACCUUAUAUCUACUUAGACGUAACCACCGCCAACCGUGCAGACAAAACAGAAGCCUUUGACUGUUGAACUUUGGUAUUUUGCACCGCACAACUAUUAACAUGAAUCUGGGGGCAACCGGUAACCGGGGUUGUUCUCUGGGUGAGAACGAAAAUCAUUGCAAUCUGCCGGACAUCGAACGAAGUUGCAAUAGCUCAA